rnacentral:misc_RNA from 1 species
GAUGAAGAACGCAGCGAAAUGUGAUAAGUAAUGCGAAUUGCAGAAUUUCCGUGAGUCAUCGAAUCUUUGAACGCACAUUGCGCCCACUGGUAUUCCGGUGGGCAUGCCUGUUCGAGCGUCAUUAUCCUCCCUCAAACCCCGGGUUUGGUGUUGGACCCAAGUUGUGUGAACAACUGGUCUCAAAGACAAUGACGGCGUCCGUGGGACCCUCGGUGCAACGAGCUUUUAGGAGCACGCAUCGAGUUGCAAGGACCUUCCGGGCCGGUCUCCUUUACCAUUUUACAAGGUUGACCUCGGAUCAGGUAGGAAUACCCGCUGAACUUAAGCAUAUCAAUAAGCGGAGGA